rnacentral:tRNA from 1 species
AAUCUUAUAGUUUAAUAAAAAUAUAAAAUUGCAAAUUUUAAGAUAUAAUUGAUUAAGAUUU